rnacentral:rRNA from 1 species
UACGUAGGGGGCUAGCGUUGUCCGGAAUCAUUGGGCGUAAAGAGCGUGUAGGCGGUCCGGUAAGUCCGCUGUGAAAGUCGGGGGCUCAACCCUCGAAUGCCGGUGGAUACUGUCGGGCUAGAGUGCGGAAGAGGCGAGUGGAAUUCCUGGUGUAGCGGUGGAAUGCGCAGAUAUCAGGAGGAACACCUAUAGCGAAGGCAGCUCGCUGGGACGACACUGACGCUGAGACGCGAAAGCUAGGGGAGCAAACGGG